rnacentral:rRNA from 1 species
CCCUUAGAUGUUCUGGGCCGCACGCGCGCUACACUGAUGCAUUCAACGAGCCUAUCCUUGACCGACAGGUCCGGGUAAUCUUUGAAUCUGCAUCGUGACGGGGAUAGAUUAUUGCAAUUAUUAAUCUUCAACGAGGAAUGCCUAGUAGGCGCAAGUCAUCAGCUUGCGUCGAUUACGUCCCUGCCCUUUGUACACACCGCCCGUCGCUCCUACCGAUUGGGUGUGCUGGUGAAAUGUUCGGAUCGGCCGUUUGUCGCGGUUACCGCGGCUCGUGGCUGAGAAGUUCAUUAAACCCUCCCACCUAGAGGAAGGAGAAGUCGUAACA